rnacentral:rRNA from 1 species
AACGAACGCUGGCGGCAUGCCUAACACAUGCAAGUCGAACGCCCUCUUCGGAGGGAGUGGCGCACGGGUGCGUAACGCGUGGGAACCUGCCCUUAGGUUCGGAAUAACUCAGAGAAAUUUGAGCUAAUACCGGAUAAUGUCUUCGGACCAAAGAUUUAUCGCCUUUGGAUGGGCCCGCGUUGGAUUAGCUAGUUGGUGGGGUAAAGGCCUACCAAGGCGACGAUCCAUAGCUGGUCUGAGAGGAUGAUCAGCCACACUGGGACUGAGACACGGCCCAGACUCCUACGGGAGGCAGCAGUGGGGAAUUUGGACAAUGGGCGCAAGCCUGAUCCAGCAAUGCCGCGUGCAGGAUGAAGGCCUC